GAUCCUCCCCCAGCGCUAGGCGUCUCUACGCGAUCCACCCCCAACCCUCGCCGUCUCUACCCGAUCCUCCCCCAACCCUCGACAUCCUUGUGCGCCAUCUACCUUUCCGUCUUCCCCGCCAUCCGCUCCGUCGUUUGCCACACCGAGGCCUUCUUCUUUCCUCUUCUAGCGUCUCGUGAUCAGAAGCCCUAGGUUGAGCCCUAGGUUGCAAGUGACUGUGCGUCGUCUGCCCUGCCAUCUUCCCCUUUGUUUGUGACGCCAAGGAGAGUGAAGCUGAUAAUCAAUUGAAGGAGUGGAUUUUACUUAAAUGUUUAUUGGCACAAAAGGUCACUAGCAGCAAUACAAUAGUAGUUUCCCAAGAAUGACUUGUGAUGGUAAAACUGUUGGAAAACCUCAUUUUCAACAUCAAGACAAGGCAAAUACACAAUCUAGAAUUAUGAUUGCCAAUCACGCAGCUCGAAAAUCAAACAUCGGAUUGACUCUUAAAAGUAAAAAUGUCGGAAAACCUCAUUUCCAACUUCAAGAUAGGGCAAAUACUCAACCACAGAUUUUGAUUGACAAUCACGCAACUCAAAAC